rnacentral:rRNA from 1 species
AGUCGAGCGAGUCUGCCUUGAAGAUCGGAGUGCUUGCAUUCUGUGAAACAAGAUACAGGCUAGCGGCGGACGGGUGAGUAACACGUGGGUAACCUGCCCAAGAGAUCGGGAUAACACCUGGAAACAGAUGCUAAUACCGGAUAACAACAGAUGAUGCCUAUCAACUGUUUAAAAGAUGGUUCUGCUAUCACUCUUGGAUGGACCUGCGGUGCAUUAGCUAGUUGGUAGGGUAACGGCCUACCAAGGCGAUGAUGCAUAGCCGAGUUGAGAGACUGAUCGGCCACAUUGGGACUGAGACACGGCCCAAACUCCUACGGGAGGCAGCAGUAGGGAAUCUUCCACAAUGGACGCAAGUCUGAUGGAGCAACGCCGCGUGAGUGAAGAAGGGUUUCGGCUCGUAAAGCUCUGUUGUUGGUGAAGAAGGACGGGGGUAGUAACUGACCUUUGUUUGACGGUAAUCAAUUAGAAAGUCACGGCUAACUACGUGCCAGCAGCCGCGGUAAUACGUAGGUGGCAAGCGUUGUCCGGAUUUAUUGGGCGUAAAGCGAGUGCAGGCGGUUCGAUAAGUCUGAUGUGAAAGCCUUCGGCUCAACCGGAGAAUUGCAUCAGAAACUGUCGAGCUUGAGUACAGAAGAGGAGAGUGGAACUCCAUGUGUAGCGGUGAAAUGCGUAGAUAUAUGGAAGAACACCGGUGGCGAAGGCGGCUCUCUGGUCUGUUACUGACGC